rnacentral:misc_RNA from 1 species
AAAAGCUCUAUAUGUCGGUGAAGGUUCGGCAUCAGCGGUUUAUGCACUGCGAGAGUUGGGAUUUACCAAUGCUUGUGGAGCUCACCGACACCCCUUUUUCUCGCUUAAGCAUAAAAAGUUCGCUUAUGAGCUUCAAUAUACUGACAGUUCCUUUGAUUUUGUGUUCUCUAGGGACCUAGAUGACGUUUCGGUCCCUGCUGUUCUUGUGCUCGAGAUUGAGCGCGUUCUGAAGCCCGGUGGAAUUGGGGCUAUGCUUGUGGGGGUUAUUGGUUUGAACACAAAUGGCUUGAUUAGGUCUGCUACUCCGGUUUCAUCGUUAUUGAAAGCCUCCAAUGUGGUACAUGUUAGUUAUGUUCAUGAGUAUGCAUUGGUUGUUUUCCAGAAAAGAUUUGAAAAAGUUGGUUACUUCCAGCAAUUCCGCCUACCAUCUGAUUGCCAAUCUUUUAUGAAUAACAGACCUUUUAUGGAACAUCUAGAGCCCCUUGUGGAGAAGGAGGAAAUGAGGUUUGAGAAAAAGAUUUCAUUUCUGCCCAAUUUCAUUGAUGUGCUUUCUAGGAAGAAG